rnacentral:rRNA from 1 species
GACGAACGCUGGCGGCGUGCUUAACACAUGCAAGUCGAACGGAAAGGCCCUGCUUGCAGGGUGCUCGAGUGGCGAACGGGUGAGUAACACGUGGGUGAUCUGCCCCUUACCUUGGGAUAAGCCUGGGAAACUGGGUCUAAUACUGGAUAGGACCAUGCUGUAGGUGGUGUGGUGGAAAGAUUAGUUUCGGUAAGGGAUGAGCUCGCGGCCUAUCAGCUUGUUGGUGGGGUAAUGGCCUACCAAGGCGUCGACGGGUAGCCGGCCUGAGAGGGUGGACGGCCACAUUGGGACUGAGAUACGGCCCAGACUCCUACGGGAGGCAGCAGUGGGGAAUAUUGCACAAUGGGCGCAAGCCUGAUGCAGCGACGCCGCGUGGGGGAUGACGGCCUUCGGGUUGUAAACUCCUUUCAGCCAUGACGAAGCCCUUGUGGUGACGGUAGUGGUAGAAGAAGCACCGGCUAACUACGUG